GAUGAACGCUGGCGGCGUGCCUAAUACAUGCAAGUCGAGCGAACGGACGAGAAGCUUGCUUCUCUGAUGUUAGCGGCGGACGGGUGAGUAACACGUGGAUAACCUACCUAUAAGACUGGGAUAACUUCGGGAAACCGGAGCUAACACCGGAUGAUAUUUUGAACCGCAUGGUUCAAAAGUGAAAGACGGUCUUGCUGUCACUUAUAGAUGGAUCCGCGCUGCAUUAGCUAGUUGGUAAGGUAACGGCUUACCAAGGCAACGAUGCAUAGCCGACCUGAGAGGCUGAUCGGCCACACUGGAACUGAGACACGGUCCAGACUCCUACGGGAGGCCGCAGUAGGGAAUCUUCCGCAAUGGGCGAAAGCCUGACGGAGCAACGCCGCGUGAGUGGUGAAGGUCUUCGGAUCGUAAAACUCUGUUAUUAGGGAAGAACAUAUGUGUAAGUAACUGUGCACAUCUUGACGGUACCUAAUCAGAAAGCCACGGCUAACUACGUG
rnacentral:rRNA from 1 species